GGCGGAAUUGGCUGUCGCUAAGGGAGGCCUACUUACCGGGCUUUGCCUGAAAUGGACAACCGGAUUCCUUAUGAUGACUACCCAGUGGUUUUCCUGCCUGCCUAUGAAAACCCUCCAGCAUGGAUUCCUCCUCAUGAGGUGGGAGCCAUCUGCAUUCCUGAAGAAGAAAUACCAAUCCCCAAGCAUGAGGUCUAUGAAAGAUAAGUAGCAGGGUUAUGAAGCUCAACGGAGACUGAAUCUUAGAGAGUAUACCACCCAGACUACAACAAUGAGUUGACCCAGUUUCUGCCCCGAAUUGUCACAUUGAAGAAGCCUCCUGGUGCUCAGUUGGGGUUUAACAUCCGAGGAGGAAAGGCCUCCCAGCUAGGCAUCUUCAUCUCCAAGGUGAUUCCAGACUCGGAUGCACAUCGAGCAGG
rnacentral:lncRNA from 1 species